UGCCAGAAUUUGGCUGCUGCAUUCUGGAAAUGCAUGAACUCUGCAGAGGCUGAGGAAGAAGCGGAUGAUCCUGGAGCUCUUGCUGCAGUUGGCUGUUUACGAGCCAUAAGCACAAUACUUGAGUCAGUGAGCCGGUUGCCUCACCUCUUCAUUCAUAUUGAGCCAACACUCUUGCCAAUAAUGCGUAGGAUGUUGACUACAGAUGGACAAGAGGUCUUUGAAGAGGUUUUGGAGAUAGUUUCAUAUAUGACAUUUUUCUCUCCAACAAUAUCCAUGGAUAUGUGGACUCUUUGGCCCUUGAUGAUGGAGGCGUUAGCAGACUGGGCUAUUGACUUCUUUCCAAA
rnacentral:misc_RNA from 1 species